GAUGAAAUACUUAUUUGUGGGUUUGAAUGGUUACGACGGUUGAGGCGGACAAAACCGUCUACGGAUUAGACCGCUUUUUAUUUACCAUUCAUCAAUUAUAGUCCGAAGUGGUCCGGACCAAAAAAAAUAGAAGAAAACCGCAGCGGACCAUCUGUGGACUGUUUUGACAUACAAAUAAACUUGGUCCGCAACGGUUUAUUGUCUGUCCAAAAAAUGAGAUGGACUAAACCGCAGACAAAUUAGACCGAUUUGUCCGCUGCCUCCAUUCAUAGCCUGUGUGCAGUAGAAGAAUAAUGAUUAGAGUAAGGACAAUUUGGGUAUU
rnacentral:sRNA from 1 species